GGGCGUGUAGCUCUCUGGGAGAGCGACGGAUUGUCUAUCCGAUCCAGGCGAGUUCGAUUCUCGUCACGCCCGCCA
rnacentral:tRNA from 1 species